AUUGAACGCUGGCGGCAGGCCUAAUACAUGCAAGUCGAACGGUAACAUAAAAGAAGCUUGCUUCUUUUGAUGACGAGUGGCGGACGGGUGAGUAAUAUUUGGGAAACUACCUGAUAGAGGGGGACAACAGUUGGAAACGACUGCUAAUACCGCAUAAAGCCUGAGGGUGAAAGCAGCAAUGCGCUAUCAGAUGUGCCCAAACGGGAUUAGCUAGUAGGUGAGGUAAAGGCUCACCUAGGCGACGAUCUCUAGCUGGUCUGAGAGGAUGAUCAGCCACAUUGGGACUGAGACACGGCCCAGACUCCUACGGGAGGCAGCAGUAGGGAAUAUUGCACAAUGGAGGAAACUCUGAUGCAGCGACGCCGCGUGGAGGAAGAAGGUCUUCGGAUUGUAAACUCCUGUUGUUGAGGAAGAUAAUGACGGUACUCAACAAGGAAGUGACGGCUAACUACGUG
rnacentral:rRNA from 1 species